CACGGCAUUCAUGAGGUCUUUCACCAGUGUGUGUAAGGGUGUGUUUCUUGAGGUCACUCUUCGUACUGAACUUUUUGCCACACUCACGGCAUUCAUGAGGUCUUUCACCAGUGUGUGUAAGGGUGUGUGUGUUGAGGUUACUCUUCUGACUGAACUUUUUGUCACACUCACGGCAUUCAUGAGGUCUUUCACCAGUGUGUGUAAGGGUGUGUUUCUUGAGGUCACUCUUACUGCUGAACGUUUUGUCACAAUCAUGGCAUUCAUGAGGUCUUUCACCAGUGUGUGUAAGGGUGUGUGUGUUGAGGUUACUCUUCUGACUGAACUUUUUGCCACACUCACGGCAUUCAUGAGGUCUUUCACCAGUGUGUGUAAGGGUGUGUCUGUUGAGGUUACUCUUCUGAUUGAACGUUUUCCCACACUUACGGCAUUCAUGAGGUCUUUCACCAGAGUGUGUGGGUGUACUUGGUGAGGUCACCCUUCCCAGGGAGUCUUUUCCCACACUCUUGGCACUCAUGGUUUCCUUCACCAGUGUGUGGAAGGCUGUGUCUAGUGGACCUGCUCUCACUCUCAAGUCUUCUUGCACUCAAACUUUUCCUUUCCUUUAUGGCUGGAGAUGCCAGCAGCAAGGUGGUGGUGGUGGUGGUGGUGGUGAGGAGGCUCUCGUGAUCACCCCUAAUCCUCACACCACAGACAGUCUGUUCCUGCUGGUGCCCUGCCUUGCAGCCUCCACUGCAACAGAGAUCAGCGGCAGCAAAGACGCAGGGAGCGCUGAGCACAG